rnacentral:rRNA from 1 species
GUAGUCGGGGGGACAACUCGGGGGAAAACUCGAGCUAAUACCGCAUAGCCCUACCGGGGGAAANCCGGGGGAACCUUCGGGCCUCGUGCUAUUAGAUGAGCCUGCGUUGGAUUAGCUAGUUGGUCGGGGUAAAGGCCUACCAAGGCGACGAUCCAUAGCUGGUCUGAGAGGACGAUCAGCCACACUGGGACUGAGACACGGCCCAGACUCCUACGGGAGGCAGCAGUCGGGAAUAUUGGACAAUGGGCGCAAGCCUGAUCCAGCCAUGCCGCGUGUGUGAAGAAGGCCUUCGGGUUGUAAAGCACUUUAAGCAGGGAGAAAAAGUUAUAGGUUAAUACCCUAUGACCCUGAUGUUACCUGCAGAAUAAGCACCGGCUAAUUCCGUG